GUCCACGCCGUAAACGAUGGGUGCUAGGUGGUGCGGGCUUUGGCCCCUGCUGUGCCGUAGCUAACGCAUUAAGCAUCCCGCCUGGGGAGUACGGCCGCAAGGUUAAAAACUCAAAAGGAAUUGACGGGGGCCCGCACAAGCGGUGGAGCAUGUGGUUUAAUUCGACGCAACGCGAAGAACCUUACCAGCUCUUGACAUUUCCAGAUCGCCUUCAGAGAUGAGGGAGUCCUAGCAAUAGGCUGGAGGACAGGUGCUGCAUGGCUGUCGU
rnacentral:rRNA from 1 species